GCCAGGCAUAGUGGUGGGUGCCUGUAAUCUCAGCUACUCCAGAGGCUGAGGCAGGAGAAUCACUUGAACCCGGGAGGUGGAGGUUGCGGUGAGCUGAGAUCACACCAUUGCACUCCAGCCUGGGUGACAGAGUGUGACCCUGUCUCACUGUCUCAGUAGUAGGAUCACACCUGUAAAUAGCCACUACACUCCACCCUGGGCAACAUAGUGAGAUCCUGUCUCUA
ensembl:misc_RNA Metazoa_SRP Metazoan signal recognition particle RNA